rnacentral:rRNA from 1 species
AGCUCCAUUAGCGUAUAUUAAAGUUGUUGCGGUUAAAAAGCUCGUAGUUGGAUUUCUGCCGAGGACGACCGGUCCGCCCUCUGGGUGAGCAUCUGGAUCGGCCUGGGCAUCCUCUUAAGGAACGUAGCUGCACUUGACUGUGUGGUGCGGUAUCCAGGACUUUUACUUUGAGGAAUUAGAGUGUUUCAAGCAGGCUCACGCCUUGAAUACAUUAGCAUGGAAUAAUAAGAUAGGACCUCGGUUCUAUUUUGUUGGUUUCUAGAGCUGAGGUAAUGAUUAAUAGGAAUAGUUGGGGGCAUUCGUAUAGAAUUUUCAGAGGUGAAAUUCUUGGAUUUGCUAACGACGGACUACUGCGAAAGCAGUUGCCAAGGAUGUUUUCA